ACUCUGACCAUUUCACUUAAU
rnacentral:miRNA from 1 species